ACCAUUCCAAAAUAGGCGUGGCCGACAAUACUCUUUGUAUAACAUAGGAGCAAUGCAUAUUUUCAUAGAUUCCCUGUUUUUAGUUUCAUAUGUUUGAUCAAUGCGUGAAUUGCCUUUCGUUUCUGCAGGACCUUGCUAACUGUCUAAAAGGCUGCAGGUUUCUCCCAAAAGUAAACAUUGAUCUCGUGGAUUACAGAAACUCAACCUACAAGGAAAGAUUUGCUAACUUGCAGAACCUAGUCCUUAUUAUGGUUAGUUUUGUAUAUGUUGUUGAUUUUGGAUCCUUGUCUUUUGCAGCUUUGUGAUGCUAACUCUUUUUAUUUCACUCUAGUUUGAGCAAGACACUGUGUUGAUACCAAAGGAAACAUCCUAGUUCGUAUACUAUCUAGAUGAAACUUUUGAUACUGUUUUGCCUACCCAAGACGUAAUUGCUGCAUUAACUUGAAAUGCAGUUAUCAGUGUCUUUAUCGGUGCCAUUGAAUCAUAGUAAUUUUGGGCGAUACUGAUGGUCGCUGAAAAGUAGCGGUAAAGUAUUUAUGGUGGAUGAGGGUGGAAUCUCCUUGUGGUUCAGAAAGCAUGCAUUUUGAAAGGUUCCAUUCUUUUGAGAUUAUUUCCUGUCCUCAAACCGAUUCCAUAAUUAAGAAUUUGCUGGAGGACUUGCACGCACAUAAAUAUGUGAAAAAUCAAGGGUGUAGAAUAUAUAAAAUCUCUGGUAACAUUGAUAUUGACUUGGAAUCAACUUGUUUUAUUGCACUUUGCGCAGUCAACCAAGAAAUGUAACAAAGAACAAGCUGAAACAUUUUCUAAGCCCUAGAUAUGAAUGAUUAACCAUGUUGAAAGUAAUACUGAGGAUUGUGAAAGCAUUAUCUUUACCAAGCUCUUACUCUACAAUCUUAGGGUGUAGGAGGUGUAUAUCCAUGACAUGGUCUGGAAUUACUUUUGGUAGUGAUUUAUGAUUUUCAUUUCAUCAUUGAGCAUUAACUAUUGACAAGUCGAUAAUCGAAGGAAAAUUGCAUUUACAUGAGAAAAAUGGACAAAAGAGAAUGGGCGAAUGAACAUAUUGUGAUAUUGUGUUGUCACUAUGGUGUAAGCUCGUCAUAACAUGCUUUUACCCUUACUCUGCUGCAAUUUGGAUCCUUUUACCAUUAGGACUGGAUUGGAUUGAAAAAUAAAAUAGAAAUGUAUCUAAUCGAUGCAUUUCCUGCAGACCAAGCUUUACACCAAGGAUUGGAUUGGAUUGAAGACCUUGGAUGAAGCUGGGAAAGUCAAAUUCAUCAAUGUCUCUAGGAACCAUCUCCAGAUCUCUGUCUUGCUGACAUGCAAAAAUAUAUAGUACCUUACUUGGUGGAUGAUGCAGCUUUAGCAAAGAAAAUGGCAACAAGAAUGGCUUCUAGUAGUUGGACCCCAUGGGUUCAGGAUUUGUAUCGAAGAAUGUUGAGGCAAAGAUUGGUUAGGCUGUUUGAGGAUCGGCCACUACUUCUCUUGGCAGUUACCUUUAGCUUCUGCUUAAAAAUGUAAGAUUAUGACAUACAAUGUGAUUUGAGAGAUCAAUUCAGGCAGAAACUGAGACGGUCAAUGCAAAUGAACUCCAUAUAGAUUUUGAUUUA